GCCAUACUCGAUCCAGGGAGGGACGCAGGAGAGGGAGCAGGAGGUGUUGUAAAAAAAGGAGCCACUUCUCGUACGUGCUGCACUAAGUGGAUGCAUCACUACAGUGAAAAUGCAGCAGCAGCAGGCACCGGAGACACCACAACUCCAACAGCGACCGAAGCUUGGGUCAAACCCGGAGGUCAAAGGUAAACAUACAAUCAACUGGCAGUGGAAUUAACUUAUUAUUAAGUUGUUUGGACAGUUGGGGGCAACAGAAAUAAGCAGUGAAACCAGCAUUGAUAUUAAUAUAUAUUAAAUUGUUAUGUUGAACUUGUUAACUAAGUCAUUUACACAAAUUACAGAGCGACAGUAGAAUUAAUCCAGCUCAGUUUCUGGUCUUCACCAACUCCUUAGGGAAAUAUCUGGCUCAUAAGCUGCUUCAUGUUAGAUUUGCCCAGUAACUGCUAACAAUAGGAUUUUCAGUGAAAACCGGCUGCGACCAAAAGACGAGGCAAAGAGAGCAGCGAGAAGCAAAAUAUCAAGUUUAGCCAAAAGCAGAACGCAAACAGUAGAUUUACCGAGAUUUUACAAAAGCAAAAUGUGACAAAGCAUGUGACUUAAAUGUUCAAUGAAAUGUUGUGACUAUACAAAUAAAAUUGAAUUGAACACUU